AUAAAAGGCUGUUUACUCUUUCCUGAGCUCAGCAAGGACCAUAGUUGGGAAGUGAGUCAACAUCCUGCAGCAUCCCACAAUGGACCCGGCUGAGACGCUCUAUUUUCUUUCUUAGCAGCCCUGUGGAGGAUGGGAAAGAGAUGCCUUGCCCAGACUUGGGGACUGACCUGAACCCACCACGGCAACAGAAAAGGAAAGGAAACCGUGAUCAAAAGCAAAAACCACAAUGCACGGGAGACAACUAAAUAAACAAACUUAAUUGGCUUGUGAUUUCAAAACUUCGGAGUCUGUGAUAUGCCAUAGUCACUAUGGAAGUCUAAAGAAGAUAGAGUAACUAACAGCUUUGAAAAUGA